GAAACCACCUCCAUGAUCCAAUCACCACCCACCAGGCUCCACCUCCAACACUGGGGUUUACAAUUCAACAUGAGAUUUGGAUAGGGACACAGAUCCAAACAAUAUCAGGUACAAUGCUUCUUUUGUUUUAUAGAUGGGGAUGACUAAGUCAGGGAGUUUGAAUAAUUUGUCCAACAUCAUAAAUACUAGGUGAUGAUGUCACAAUUAGUACACAGGUAUAAAAGUUCCUAAUUAUUAUGCCACAUAUAUCAUUGAUAAAACACUUACCUUUUUAAAGAAACUACUUUCUAAUUGUUUUGGACUAAUUAUGUUUUCAUUAUUAGGACACCUCUCUCAGGACCAGUGUGAGACUGACACAUAG
rnacentral:lncRNA from 1 species